rnacentral:rRNA from 1 species
CCCUUAGAUGUUCUGGGCAGCACGCGCGCUACAAUGGUCUUCGCAAACGGAUGCAUUCUCGAGGAGAAUGCCAAUCUUGGAAUCUAUGCCUUGGUCGGGACAGUUGCUUGCAAUUUUUCGACUCGAACCAGGAAUUCCUUGUAAUCGUGAUUCAUCACAUCACGAUGAAUACGUCCCUGCCCUUUGUACACACCGCCCGUCGCUCCUACCGAUCGAAGAGUUAGGUGAAUUGUUUUGAUCGAUAAGAUUUGACUAUGGUCAACUCUCGUUGUGAAAUUCUGUGAAUCUGACUGUUUAGAGGAAGGAAAAGUCGUAACA